rnacentral:lncRNA from 1 species
CCCCCACCAAUCUCCACUUGAUCAAUUUGAAAGAUUAAAGUCUCAAGUAUAGUUGCUUGACGAUUUGGUUUAGCCCAUACCAAUUAGAUCAGUCAUCACAUGACUGAUUAGAUAAGACCUAACCCCAAACCUCUCUAUAAAUAUUAAGUCCAAUGAUCUUCCAUCGUUAUAGAUAUACAGGUGUACUACCGAUGUUGAUUGUUCACAGCUGGUCACAGUGGUUCAGUUGCAUCGAAAAUACGUAACUACUCUAUUAGCAAAGAGUUGCUCCAAGGUAGAGAUGGGGUUAGACCCAAUAACUGUUAGAUAAGGGACCCAAUGAUGGCUUUGCACCUGCUUGUCAAUGAUGGGUCUGACUUAACUAAGGAGUGUGAGCAAUAACUGUUAGGUGAGCCC